ACCCUUUAAUGUUUGAUGUUCUAACGUUGCCCCAUUAUCUGGGGUGCGGACAGUGUCUGGUGGGUAGUUUGACUGGGGCGGUCUCCUCCCAAAGAGUAACGGAGGAGCACGAAGGUUGGCUAAGCAUGGUCGGACAUCAUGCGGUUAGUGCAAAGGCAUAAGCCAGCUUGACUGCGAGAGUGACGGCUCGAGCAGGUACGAAAGUAGGUCUUAGUGAUCCGGUGGUUCUGAAUGGAAGGGCCAUCGCUCAACGGAUAAAAGGUACUCCGGGGAUAACAGGCUGAUACCGCCCAAGAGUUCAUAUCGACGGCGGUGUUUGGCACCUCGAUGUCGGCUCAUCACAUCCUGGGGCUGAAGUAGGUCCCAAGGGUACGGCUGUUCGCCGUUUAAAGUGGUACGCGAGCUGGGUUUAGAACGUCGUGAGACAGUU
rnacentral:rRNA from 1 species